AAUGAACGCUGGCGGCGCGCCUAAUACAUGCAAGUCGAGCGAGAAGACGUAGCAAUACGUUUGUAAAGCGGCGAACGGGUGAGGAAUACAUGGGUAACCUACCCUCGAGUGGGGAAUAACUAGCCGAAAGGUUAGCUAAUACCGCGUACGCUUCUUGGACUUCGGUUCAGGGAGGAAAGCGAUGCCGAGGGUAUCGCGCUCUUGGAUGGGCUCAUGUCCUAUCAGCUUGNGGUGAGGUAACGGCUCACCAAGGCUUCGACGGGUAGCUGGUCUGAGAGGACGAUCAGCCACACUGGCACUGCGACACGGGCCAGACUCCUACGGGAGGCAGCAGUAAGGAAUAUUGCGCAAUGGGCGAAAAGCCUGACGCAGCGACGCCGCGUGGGGGAUGAAGGUCUUCGGAUUGUAAACCCCUUUCGGG
rnacentral:rRNA from 1 species